CCCGCUGAACUUAAGCAUAUCAAUAAGCGGAGGAAAAGAAACUAACAAGGAUUCCCCUAGUAACUGCGAGUGAAGAGGGAAAAGCUCAAAUUUUGAAUCUGGCGGUCUUUCGGUCGUCCGAGUUGUAAUCUAGAGAAGCGUCUUCCGCGCUGGACCGUGUAUAAGUUUCCUGGAAUGGAACGUCGUAGAGGGUGAGAAUCCCGUCUUUGACACGGACUACCAGGGCUAUGUGAUGCGCUCUCGACGAGUCGAGUUGUUUGGGAAUGCAGCUCAAAUAGGGUGGUAAAUUCCAUCUAAAGCUAAAUACAGGCGAGAGACCGAUAGCGAACAAGUACCGUGAGGGAAAGAUGAAAAGAACUUUGGAAAGAGAGUUAAACAGUACGUGAAAUUGUUGAAAGGGAAGCGCUUGCAACCAGACUUGCAUAUAGUUGAUCAUCCGGCGUUUUCACCGGUGCACUCGAUUGUAUUCAGGCCAGCAUCGGUUUUGGUGGUUGGAUAAAGGCCUUGGGAAUGUAGCUUCUUUCGGGGAGUGUUAUAGCCCUCGGUGCAAUGCAGCCUACCGGGACCGAGGACCGCGCUUCGGCUAGGAUGCUGGCGUAAUGGUUGUAAGCGACCCGUCUUGAAACACGG
rnacentral:rRNA from 1 species